UACCGGUAUCAGACGAAGCGAGUGUAUAUUCACGACUCACGUUUCGUGGAAUUUUAUAGCAAAUGGGAUCUGUCACACUGAACGUUGGUGAGCCCGUCUCGGGUGCCGCCAUAUUCCGGGGACUCGGAACUUCGGAGGUUUCCUGGGUAUGAGAGUUUCGGGUCUCGUUCUUUCUGCCAACGGAACGGCUGGUGAUAAGAAGUGCGCGACGCGACUAGUGACUUUAACCUUUUGCCUUUGCCUUUUACCUUAAUAGUGUUUCGUAAGUGAAUUCUUGGAUUUUUGCGUCCGCUUUCUUAAAUACAGUUCACUUUAACAUACAAUAAGCGUCCAAUAAGACGCUUUUUGUAUGGGCUGGAAAUUUUUGCUGCAAUUGCGAAAGCCCACGCCGGGUUUCGUACGCCGUCCUGAGGGACGUUCCUCUACGUUUUGGAUCAGCCUCUCGGCGCGUCUUCGCCGCCAUUUUGGUGACUCUACAUUCCGUGACCGUGUGACGCUCCGGCCCGCCAUCUUGGCAGUCAAACGGAGUCGUGGAAGUCCGUCAAUUCCCGUUGGCAGAAAACACACACCGGUCGCCAAUUGCCGGUCGUGAAAAGGGUCCACCACGUUACAACCCCCGGACCCUUCCGAGAGCCGUACGUAGUCAAAUUGUCGUACACCCCCGGGUCGGGAAUCCUGUUGGUUUUAACUUAAAGCCUCCAAUGGUGGGGUGUUCGUUUGCCUCCAGGACGAAGACCCAGUCCGGACAGCGCCCGACACUCCGUGUCCAUCGCGCGUGAGCUGAGCUCGGCUCGCUCUUUAUUGGCUCUGCGGAAUUGUGCACUUGUGAAAUCGGAAAGCUUCCCGUCCAGCCGCCCACACUCCGCAACUUUAGUUUCGGCCACGAGCGUCCACGUAGUCCUACGUCACCCAACGAGGGAGCUGGAACGCACCACGUGACCAGCGUCUACCUUCUCGGCGUCGUGCUCCACCGCACGGCCAAUCAGCAUCGAGCGUCGCUCGACGGCGGAUUCCCGCCAAAGCAGAGGAACCAACUCGACACCUCCAGACUGCCAGCAUCUACCAGAACAUCGCAUCAGCAGUUUUCGCCGGCCCUCGACGGCCGGGCGUCCUCGCGGCAGCAUGUGCACCAACACCAACAAAACCCUGCGCAGGUAUGUGAGAGACCCUUGAAUCAUGGCCAUGUUUCCUCUCUCCCAUUUCCCUUACCCACACAAACAAUUGUCUAGCUCGAACUCUCGCGGUAGUUUUAUGCUCCGGA
rnacentral:lncRNA from 1 species